GUGCUUGCUUUGGCUGCACAUAUACUAAAAUUAGAACAAUACAGAGAACAUUAGCAUGGCCCUUGCCCAAGGAUGACACGCAAAUUCAUGUAGUAAAUGUCUUU